rnacentral:rRNA from 1 species
AACGAACGCUGGCGGCAGGCCUAACACAUGCAGUCGAGCGGACCUUUCGGGGUCAGCGGCGGACGGGUGAGUAACGCGUGGGAAUAUGCCCUUCUCUACGGAAUAGUUCUGGGAAACUGGGGGUAAUACCGUAUACGCCCUUUGGGGGAAAGAUUUAUCGGGGAAGGAUUAGCCCGCGUUGGAUUAGGUAGUUGGUGGGGUAAUGGCCUACCAAGCCGACGAUCCAUAGCUGGUUUGAGAGGAUGAUCAGCCACACUGGGACUGAGACACGGCCCAGACUCCUACGGGAGGCAGCAGUGGGGAAUCUUAGACAAUGGGGGCAACCCUGAUCUAGCCAUGCCGCGUGAGUGAUGAAGGCCUUAGGGUUGUAAAGCUCUUUCAGCUGGGAAGAUAAUGACGGUACCAGCAGAAGAAGCCCCGGCUAACUCCGUG